rnacentral:rRNA from 1 species
GGAAUAUUGCACAAUGGGCGAAAGCCUGAUGCAGCGACGCCGCGUGAGGGAUGACGGCCUUCGGGUUGUAAACCUCUUUCAGUAGGGAACAAGGCCAGGCAUUGUCUGGUUGAGGGUACUUGCAGAAGAAGCGCCGGCUAACUACGUGCCAGCAGCCGCGGUAAUACGUAGGGCGCAAGCGUUAUCCGGAAUUAUUGGGCGUAAAGAGCUCGUAGGCGGUUUGUCGCGUCUGCCGUGAAAGUCCGGGGCUCAACUCCGGAUCUGCGGUGGGUACGGGCAGACUAGAGUGAUGUAGGGGAGACUGGAAUUCCUGGUGUAGCGGUGAAAUGCGCAGAUAUCAGGAGGAACACCGAUGGCGAAGGCAGGUCUCUGGGCAUUAACUGACGCUGAGGAGCGAAAGCAUGGGGAGCGAACAGGAUUAGAUACCCGAG